rnacentral:rRNA from 1 species
UGGGGGAAUAUUGGGCAAUGGGCGCAAGCCUGACCCAGCAACGCCGCGUGAAGGAAGAAGGCUUUCGGGUUGUAAACUUCUUUUGACAGGGACGAAACAAAUGACGGUACCUGUAGAAUAAGCUCCGGCUAAAUACGUGCCAGCAGCCGCGGUAAUACGUAUGGAGCAAGCGUUAUCCGGAUUUACUGGGUGUAAAGGGCGCGUAGGCGGGACUCCAAGUCAGAUGUGAAAUCUCCGGGCUUAACCCGGAAACUGCAUUUGAAACUGUAGUUCUUGAGUGAUGGAGAGGCAAGUGGAAUUCCUAGUGUAGCGGUGAAAUGCGUAGAUAUUAGGAGGAACACCAGUGGCGAAGGCGACUUGCUGGACAUUAACUGACGCUGAGGCG